GAUUUGAAAGCGAAUACGCAAUAAGUUUCGGCCUUAGCCCUGGAAUUAUAUAUUCCUCAAAUCU
rnacentral:tRNA from 1 species